ensembl:lncRNA
UUUAAGGCAGAGCAACGCCCACAUCCACCUCACGUGACUCACUUUCCCUUCCACCUAAGCCAUCACCUGGGGAGAAGUAGAAAAGCUUGGGCUGGGCUGCUGCAGAGACUGCUGGGAAGACAACUCCUGUGGAAAGCGAAUGGCUGGUGCUGCCUUUCUGGAAGCUGUGGUUCCCAGCCUAAGCUUUCUUACUACGCUGCUCUCCAGCUCUGCCCUCCGAAUUGGAGACUUAAGGACAACAGAGCUCUGAAGAUGGUACGUUGCCUCUUUGUGGUCCUCUAGAUGGCAGAGGGUACAGAGGUUUAAACUUUAAGGAUAAGUUGUGAUGCUUGAGGUUUUUUUCUUCUCUUCCACCUUGGUGAUCCAGCUAUAUAAAGACUUCAAGGAUCUCUGGUGCCAACAUGGUGAGACUAUAUUGGUUAGUGUCAUCUAAACACAAUGAAGCUGCUGACUCGAUUUAAAUACACAUUGAAAUUUGGGAAAUAGAGAAAAAGAAAGCCAUCAAUGAUCCUUCAGGUAGAAUCUUUGGACAGUUUUCUGGAGAAAAUGGAUUUGGAUCAAAGGAGACGUCAGAACCAUGUAGUUGCUACUGAACCGUACAUUUGAAGGAGCCCCAUCAGAUUGUGCAUUUCUGACUUUACUCCUUUUCUCAUGUGAACUGCAAAACUAAAGAGGAACAUAAGAAACAAAAAGGAGAAAAAUUAUCAAAUGAUUGUAAAAGAAUAAAGAGAGUUAAACAAUGCAAAUUUCUGAUGUGUUAACAUUAAGAGAAAGAUGAAGAACAGCUUAAUAAUCAUAUUCAGAUAUUGGAAUACAGACAAGAAAAAGAUUAAGUCAUUCUUGUUUUCACUCUGAGACAAAUAAGAGAACGUGGGCCACAAGACGACAUGUUUGAAAUUCCGAUUCUUGUUCACCCGCUUUUCAAUCUACUGCUUCUGCCCCGCCAGGCUGCCUCGAGUUCUGGAAGGGUCACUUCAUUCCCUCACAGCACGUGGACCUCCAAUGCAGAUGUGCUGCUAUGACGCCUAGGGAAACAGAGUUUUACAACAAACUAGAACUGUAGGAGUGACUCCAAUGUUCAAGGUGGGUAGUUUUCAGAGAAGAGCUGCUGAAGAGACAACCCAGUAUGGAUGCACCACAAUGUUUAUUCUUGCAACGACUUCUGAAUUACUUGAGAUAACUUGACAAGUUUUUGUUCCUUGCAAACAGAAGAAUCAAGCAACCGUAGGCAUUAAACUUGAGAUACUACAUGUGGUGGUAAAGAUAGGUCUUCAUAUUGAUCAAGGAAUUAUACAGAGCUUCUCCAGCCUAUAGCCUCAGUUGCCCAAAUCCAUUGUUCACAUGUUUUCAACUUGAAGAUUCCAAGAGUUCCAGAGCAUAUCACAAGUGUCUGAAUAUCUGGUUCCAGGAGCUUACACUCUUGAAGAGGGUGGCAAGCACGGUAAUGAAGAAGUCUGUAUGAGCAGAGAGACAAAGUUUGAGUUUCGAAAGCAUUUUGGAGAAACAAGAGAUUGUGCUCUCAAGGAAGGUGACAGAACUGGAGCAUCUGUUUGUUCAUUAGAUUUCCUCACCUAUCAAUUAUCCAAGCUUUGAGAGUGUUGUUUUCUCCUUUCCUUCUGAAUGAGAAGAAAGACUAUAUCCAAAACAGCAGCCAGAGGACGGGGUGAAUCUUGAAGCCACUCCCUCCACCUCACACUCAUUCUUGUGUCUAGUUGUUUAUAGCAUCUGUUUGCACUUCAAAUUUGACUAUCUGUUGUCAACUUCAGCUCCACAUGAGGAAGAUAGAUUCCCCUUAAAAUUUUUCCUUACUUUUUCCUACUUGUGUAACAUCCGACUAACUGGAUAAAAAGGUCAUUUUGCUGACAGCUCAAGUAAGGACAUAAAAUGAUUUUCAGUGCAUUUCUCUUUUGAUCGACAUUUAUAUUUGGUUGUAAUAUCUUGCUGCUUCUUCAUAUAGUUCCGCCAGGCACUCUCCCUGUGUCACCUUCAGGACUGUCCUAGGUGUCAUUUCUUCUAGAACUCCUUCUGGAACUGUCACUGCACAGGAUAUUCUUUCAAUACUUUUCUUCUCAUCCACGGAGCCUCUGCCCUGGCAAUCUAUCCUCAUCUCCAUGGUCAAAGGCGUUUUAGCACAUACCACACCCACUCCCAGCCCCUGGAAAUUUAUAUCCGUCUUCCCUUCCCACCAUACAUCAAGUCCCAGGUCCUUAUUUUAUACAUCAAAAUACUCCUGCUAAGUAAUAUGUAUUUCUUCUUCUUUUUCUAUUUUUAAAUCCAAUUUUCUGAACUUAUUCCCUGGAAGCCUAAUGUCAGUUUGUCUUUACUCCCAUCUUUGAGUUUUUUCCCCUUUCAAAGCAAUGCCUGAAAUUAUUUUCCUCUAAUGGCUGCCAAAAUCUCUGACUUUCUCUCUCUCUCUCUCCUUAAAUAGUGUCUAACUAUAUUUCACUUAUUUCAGAAAAUCUUUCUGGAUUGAUCAUUAAGGAGUUAACAAUGUUGCUUAGUUUAUUAUGCGUGUGGCUAUUUCUCCCAUUUUCCCCCUUUCUUUAGAUUUACCUUCUUGAUAAAUGUUAUGCUUUAUUUUGAUAUAGU